rnacentral:rRNA from 1 species
UACGUAGGGUGCGAGCGUUAAUCGGAAUUACUGGGCGUAAAGCGGGCGCAGACGGUUCGUUAAGCAAGAUGUGAAAUCCCCGGGCUCAACCCGGGAACUGCAUUCGAAACUGGCAGGCUAGAGUCUUGUAGAGGGGGGUAGAAUUCCAGGUGUAGCGGUGAAAUGCGUAGAGAUCUGGAGGAAUACCGGUGGCGAAGGCGGCCCCCUGGACAAAGACUGACGCUCAGGUGCGAAAGCGUGGGGAGCAAACAGG